rnacentral:rRNA from 1 species
GUGAUAUCAUUGGUAGUAGUUGGNAACUGACUGCUACUCCUAGCCUAGCAUGCAAGUUCCAUUGACUUGGACUAAUUGCAUAUGACUGUGUGUUUGGGGCAACUUGAGCGCACGGUUGAGCCAGAGUGGGUGAAAGCCCUAUACCGUGCAGGCAUUGGUAUCACGAAUUGCAGAGGUGCCGCAAGGUUCCCAUUUUUUAGAGUCAAGUUGCUUGAGGGUGCAACUUUAAGUGCGAGGUAAACUACUCGUAAGGCUAUGCAAUACGGCUACGACACCGAUAGCAAACAAGUACCGUGAGGGAAAGUUG